rnacentral:lncRNA from 1 species
AUGGUAGAACAGUUGAGAAGGUGAUUAUUGUAGGGAGUGGACCAUUGUGCUUCUUUUAUGGGGUGGUGAGGGAAGGAAUCUUCUAAUAAGAACUUAUGUCUUUGGUCCCAAGUAGCUGAUGAGAAGAGGACUAGUUCUGUUUGAGUCUCAUUGAGUGUAAAAAAGCUAGGAAAAACGUUAAAAAAAACACGACUUGAAAAAAAUUUGUAUUACAGCACCUCUUUUUGAAGUGCCAUCUCAUUUAUCGUGUAUUGUUGGAAUACAUAGUUAACUGGUGUUUUGAAGUGCUUUUGCCAUCAGAGCUCCUAGAGCAAAUGGAUAAGGAUAAAAUCUGACUUCUCUUUCUCUUUAAUAGGCACCGUUUUUGUUCACCAUUUUCUGAGUUCUGGUUAGGAUUUGGCGACAGUAUGAAGAUGAAUUUGUGUGUCCCAGAAGGCAAGCCACAUGAGUAGUUGAGUAAGUAGGAGGCCAUGUACAGUUGGAAGAAAGGGUUUAUGGUGUUCUAGGUAGCCACCAGAGGAGACAGCAAAGAAGCAGUAUUUGUCCCAGCUGUGAUCACCACUGACACUACACUGCUGCUUUUUCUUGGCAGCGAUAUUAUUCUUCUUUUAUAUUAGCCAUUUUAUAAAUUCUGAAAGGGAACACAUCUUAUUCUUUGCCAAUUCUGAAAACUCUGGCCAGGUUAGCUUAAGAAAAUAAGAUAAUAAUAAUACCUAAGUAUCUCUAUAUCUACAGAUAGGGAUCUACAGACAAGACAAGGUAGGUUUAGGAUAAAGGGCAGGAGCCAGGUCUAGGGAAAACAGUGGGUCAGAACAAGAUAGGGGUAGACCAAAGGAGGACACAUAUAAUGGAGAGUGAGAUCAAGAAUGACCAGAUAGCAACUAGAGGAACUUAUAGUGGGGAAUGAGACAAGGCAUUAUAUUAAAAGUCAUGACAGCAAACACCAGAACACAUACUAGAAGAAAGGCAGUUGGUGAAAGGUUUAUAAUUUAGGAAUUAGAACAUCCAUCUACGCUGAAAAAUAGGAUUGUUGUAAGAAUUGCCAUGAACUGCCUACAGCAUGGGUACUGAGACAGCAAGCAGUCUUUUGCUAGCCAGGAAAGUUCUUACAAGUUCUUCCUGCGUAGUAGCUACUCCUAGCUGAUAGCAGUCAUGGAAUACAGCAAUUCAGUUUACGUCUGGCAGCUCCUGACUCCUGAGCAGCUGGUCUGAAUCACUGGAGUUUUAUGGAAGGCUAGGUUCUGAUAAAUUUUGUUCUCUCUCAAAGUAGAAAGAUUGAUAGAUUAUGGUCCGUAAUCUAGAAUUUUGUUCUCUCUCAAAAGUAGAAAGAAAAUUUUGUUCUCUCUCAAAGUAGAAAGAUUGCUAGAUUGUGGUUCAUGUGCAGAAACUUUGAGUUAGGUUGACUUUUGGAAGCAGAUCAGUAGCUAUUGUGGUAUGCCCACCACUGGCAUUUCAAAGAAAUGCAUAUUGAAGCCUUCUGAAAGUCCCACUUUUGCAGAUACCAUUACGACAUGUAAUUUUCUUCCAUAAAAUAAAAUUUUUGCUCUGGCUAGCCUAUUCACCAAAAAUAUUUGUGCAAUGGGUUUUUAUUGUUUCUAACUAAGCAUAUAGUUAACUGAUUCAAUUCGUAAGUCUGAGUGAUUCCUCGAUGACUUUUCACUCUUGUCUUUUUCUUUUUGUGUUUUUUUGAGAUGGAGUCUCACUCUAUUGCCCAGGCUGGAGUGCAGUGGCGUGAUCUCGGCUCACUGCAACCUCUGCCUCCUGGGUUCAAGCAGUUCUCCCUGCCUCAAUCUCCUGAGUAGCUGGGACUACAGGCGCCUGCCACCAUGCCCGGAUAAUUUUUGUAUAUUUAGUAGAGAUGGGGUUUCGCCAUGUUGGCCAGGCUGGUCUCGAACUCCUGACCUUAGGUGAUUUGCCCACUUCGGUCUCCCAAAGUGCUUGGAUUACAGGUGUGAGCCACUGCGCCCAGCCUCACUCUUGUCUUUUGUGGUAACUUACACUAGUCUUUCCUUAUAUGUCUUCACUUUUACCACCAGCUCUAGCACUGGACUGUUUUUUUAUUUUUAUUUUUAUGUUUAUUUCAAAAAAAAAAACACAAAACAAAACACCUUUUAAAACAAAAGCUUCAGAAAAGUUACUGUUUCUAGCAUCAAGUAGAGAAAAAUAAACACCACCACAAAGUGAUGAUAUUACAUGUACAGAAUGUUACAAGUUUAAGGCCUAUUUAUUUUGUAAACAUUUGCAAGCCUUUUAUAAGCAAAACUUGUAAAACCGAAUCUUACAUGGAACCCUCAUAUAGAAAACUGUUAACAUUCCUGCCUGAAGAUGGUGUGGAGACAUUUGUCUUGAGGUCUCUGAGGCACUUUGAUGAAACUCGAGAGUUCAGAGGAAUACAGUUUGAAGAACGCUGAUUUAAUUUGGUCCCGCUGUUUUUGUAGAUGAGGAAAUUCAGACUAAAAGGUCCAGUGUUGGUUUCUGUGGCAAGCAAGCAUAAAAUAAAUCUGAAAAGUUUUAGCAAAGCCCAUUCAUCUGCCUUCCAGGUAUUGAGUUCUGGUAAGAACAGGAGUGCUUUUGUAAAACUUUGUGAUUUCUCUUGUAUUCUUCAUUUGCCAGAUUUUCUUACAUUUUUGAGAUUCUUCUAACUUUGCAUUUUCUCCUAAGCCUUUUGUGAGAAGCAGUUUUUAAUUUUUCUGAAGCCUUAUUGAAUAGAAAGACUUGAGUGAAUCUGUGGGGAGACGCUGACCGUGAAGAACCCCAGAGGCUGUCAGGGGAAGAAGGUUAAGGGUUGGUGGAUUUUAGAGAGAGGGGAGUUCCUUGUGCAUCACAGCCACAGGAGAUUUAAAAAUGCGUAAGCCGAGGCAUGGGGCAAUGAAGUAACUUGCUCAGUGUCAUACAGCUUGGUGGUGAUGCAGUUAGAAUUGCAAUUCUAACUGAUCUCUAAUAAGGCUGUGCUUUUUCAACCAUUUCCAUUGUACUCUCUUGCCUCUAACUGUUGUCUGGAUAGCUAUAAUAUUUGAGUAGAUACAGUGUUAUAUUUCUCAAGUUGAUGACAUUUCAUCCUUAAAUUCAAGACUUAGGUCCUAUAAAUUGGUGUUUUUCUUUAUCUUUUAAAAAAUCUUAAGCUCUGUAAAAUGAUUCUGCUUUGAACGAAGGGUACUUAUAUCUGCCAAAAUCAUUAUUGAGCUUCUCUAGUCAUUUAUUUUCUUGAAAUUGAAAUGAAACUUUCUGAACACAGCCUUACUGAAUAUGGAUUUCAGAGCCAUAAUAAUGCUUCUUGCCUCUGCAGAUUCUGAAUUGAUCUGAGUUUGGCAGUGAAUUAUGUAUGUGUUAUUUCAGGAAUUUUGCACAUGCCCUGCUUUAAACCACUGAUUAUUUUUGUAAAAUGCUGUUGUGUGGAUUUGGCUCAUUCCAUUGACGCUGAACUCAUCAGAUGGCUAUAUUGUCUUCUAGGAAUGUGACUUGAAUUGAUUAAAUGGCAUAGGCAGCAACAUCUGUUUUGUAAAGCUAGUUUAGUUUCCUAAAACUUUAAAUUUUCAAAUUUACAGCUUACAAAGAGAAUGAAGCAUAUUUCUUUAAUGCCAUAAAAAGACUUUCAUGGAGUUUUGAUGAUAGCUUGUUUUAACCUUGCCCUUAACCUAAUUCUUUUUAGAACUUAUUUUCUUACUGUAUUAUAUUGCUCAUUUUCAAGAAAAAGACAUAUUUGUAAUGUUGGAAACUUUAUAGUCUUAUAUGGAUGGCUCUUAGGUUUUUCAGAUCAUUCAUCCAUUUGAAGACCUGCAGAAAGCUUUGGAUGGUCUCCUAGAAAAAAAAGCACCCAUACACGUGCUCCUAAAACUCUGUACAAUUGUGGGAGGUAAAGCUCACCUGUACAGAUCCCCCUGAAGCCUCCUGCCUCCUUGAUGUCCUUUGCUUCACAUGUGUUAUUAAAUGCAUUAAUAAUGCUGCUGACUGUGCACAUAAGUUACCUUUCUUUAUACACAGCUUAUAGAUUUGUUGAAUAUUUGGAUCACCAUUUUUAAAAAUCAAAUGUUUUAUGAUGUUGAUCUACAUGUGUCAUUUUUAUUUCUCGGGGUUAAUGUCUAUUUUUAUUCUUUUUCUCUCAUCCUUGUAAUUUCUUUUUUAGUUAAGGAAAUGUAUCCAUCUCAGGGUUUCUUCAUUUAUUAUUACAACCCUUAUUUGGAUGGACUUAAUGACCAAAAUUUAUAUGGUAUUACAGUACAUAGGCUUACCUGAUCUAAUCUUGUAGAAGACUUUUCUUGUAUACUUCUUCGUGUAACAUUUUCAAAUAAUAUUUUCAAUUUGGGAUAGAGGACUUUAAAGAAAGUUAAGACUUGGGUAAAGAUAGAUACUCUCAUAUGACAACCCAUGGGGGCUUUUUAAAAUUAUACUAGUGGAUGUGUAUUUUUAUAUUCAGUUGAUCCUAGUCUUUGUACAGUCAGUUUUCUUUUACAAUCUGGAAUUUUGCCCAUGGUUUCAAGGCCAGCAUGGGUAUUUACUAAGUAAUCUUGAGGAUGACUGUUCUUCUUUUGUAACCUGCUCUCUCCAGAUCUGAUCUGUAUCUGUUUUAACCCAGAAGAUGUGCCCUUUUGCUUACACCAUCCCUCUUGUUUUAAGUUAAAAAGACAAAAGCUACCCGAUCUACUAUGUCAUAGGAAUUAUUAUGAUAUUCUCUACCUCUCUAGCCCUGUAU